AGGAUGAACGCUGGCGGCGUGCUUAACACAUGCAAGUCGAACGGAAUCCAAGGAGCUUGCUCCGAAAGAUUUAGUGGCGAACGGGUGAGUAACACGUGGGCAACCUGCCCCUCACACUGGGAUAACCUCGGGAAACCGGGGCUAAUACCGGAUAUGACCUCGAGCGGCAUCUCUUGAGGUGGAAAGCUCCGACGGUGAGGGAUGGGCCCGCGGCCUAUCAGCUUGUUGGUGGGGUAAUGGCCUACCAAGGCGACGACGGGUA
rnacentral:rRNA from 1 species